rnacentral:rRNA from 1 species
CAACGAGCGCAACCCYUACUGCCAGUUACUAACAGGUUAUGCUGAGGACUCUGGCGGAACUGCCGGUGACAAACCGGAGGAAGGUGGGGAUGACGUCAAGUCAUCAUGGCCCUUAUGUCCAGGGCUACACACGUGCUACAAUGGGCGGUACAAAGUGACGCGAUGCCGUAAGGCUAUAGCAAAUCACAAAAAGCCGCCCUUAGUUCGGAUUGAAGUCUGAAACCCGACUUCAUGAAGUUGGAAUCGCUAGUAAUCGCAUAUCAGCAUGAUGCGGUGAAUACGUUCCCGGGCCUUGUACACACCGCCCGUCACACCAUCCGAGUUGAGGAUACCCGAAGCCGGUAGUCCAACCGCAAGGAGGACGCUGUCGAAGGUAUGCUUAGUGAGGGGGGUGAAGUCGUAACAAGGUAGCCGUACUGGAAAGUGCGGCUGGAUCACCUCCUUUCU